AUGAAAGUGUUAUUCUGGAACAUUAUAGGUUUCGGCGCUAGGGGGCGUCGAGAUCAGAUUAGGGAUGUGGUUAGGGGAGAGAAUAUUGACAUUAUAGGGUUGGUUGAAACUUUAAAGGAAUCUUUCUCUCCCAAUGAACUUUCAGCCGUUGCGAGGAUGGAUAGAUUUGAUUGGAACUAUCUUCCGGCCUCGGGCCAUUCUGGUGGCAUUUUAAUAGGCACUAAGCGGGACCUUUUUGAUUUUUUUGACUUUGAUCAUGGCUUUUUUUGGGCUAGCACAGUCGUGCACCAUUGGCGGCUCAAUACUCUCUGGGAAAUUAUGCUUGUAUACGGCCCCGCGAAUCACUCCUUGUCCCCACUCUUUCUUGACGAGAUCUCUACUAAAAUUGAUGCUUGCACUCUGCCUAUUUUGGUGGGAGGGGACUUCAACCUCCUUCAUACUCCAUCGGACAAGAACAACUAUAACUUCUCUUGGCCUCUUGCUGAUACGUUUAACGGUUUCAUCUGCAACUGUGCACUUCGUGAACUCCCUCGGGUGGGAGCACGGUUUACUUGGACGAACCAUCAGGCCAUCCGGGUUCGAUCGAUGCUAGAUCGGGUAUUCAUAUGUUCGAAUUGGGAUUCCUUGUUCCCUCGUGCUUCUUUGAAAGCUAGAGCGAUUGAGGGCUUGGAACACGUCCUUCUAAUUUCAGAUGCGGGUCUAGACUAUACUGUUGUUUCCUCGUGCUUCCAAUUUGAUGCUCAUGGAUUUUAG
rnacentral:rRNA from 1 species